GCAAUAGUGGUUCAGUGGUAGAAUUCUCGCCUUCCAUGUGAGGGACUGGGUUCCAUUCCCAGCCAGAACA
rnacentral:tRNA from 1 species